CGCUGAACUUAAGCAUAUCAAUAAGCGGAGGAAAAGAAACCAACAGGGAUUGCCCUAGUAACGGCGAGUGAAGCGGCAACAGCUCGAAUUUGAAAUCUGGCUCCCUUGGGGGUCCGAGUUGUAAUCUACAGAGGAUGCUUCAGGCAAGGCACCCGCCGAGUUCCCUGGAACGGGACGCCACAGAGGGUGAGAGCCCCGUAUGGCGGGAGGCCGCGCCUGUGUGAAGCUCCUUCGACGAGUCGAGUAGCUUGGGAAUGCUGCUCUAAAUGGGAGGUAGACUUCUUCUAAAGCUAAAUAUUGGCCAGAGACCGAUAGCGCACAAGUAGAGUGAUCGAAAGAUGAAAAGCACUUUGAAAAGAGGGUCAAACAGUACGUGAAAUUGUUGAAAGGGAAGCGCCUAUGGCCAGACUUGCGGCAGGUCGAUCAUCUAGCGGUCUCCGCUAGUGCACUCGGCCUACCGCAGGCCAGCGUCGGCUGUUGCGGGGGGACAAAAGCACUGGGAACGUGGCUCCCUCCGGGGAGUGUUAUAGCCCAGUGCAGAAUGCCCCCGCGGCGGCCGAGGACCGCGCCCUUGUGGCAAGGACGCUGGCGUAAUGGCCAUCAGCGACCCGUCUUGAAACACGGACCAAGGAGUCGAGGUUUUGCGCGAGUGUUCGGGUGUUAAGCCCCAGCGCGCAAUGAAAGUGAACGCAGGUGGGAGCCUUCGGGCGCACCAUCGACCGAUCCUGAUGUCUUCGGAUGGAUUUGAGUAAGAGCGCAAAGCCUCGGACCCGAAAGAUGGUGAACUAUGCCUGUAUAGGGUGAAGCCAGAGGAAACUCUGGUGGAGGCUCGCAGCGGUUCUGACGUGCAAAUCGAUCGUCAAAUAUGGGCAUGGGGGCGAAAGACUAAUCGAACCAUCUAGUAG
rnacentral:rRNA from 1 species